rnacentral:rRNA from 1 species
AUCUAUGGUCAUGCCACCCUGAUCUUGUCUGAUCUCGGAAGCUAAGCAGGGUCGGGCCUGGUUAGUACUUGGAUGGGAGGCCACCCUAGGAAGACCAAAUGCUGUAGGCG